CUCCGCGGUUCCAGAAUUCCCUCCUCCUUCCCCAAAGAACAAUCUGCGGGGGACAGAGCCAAAACCUGGAAAAAUCAUUAAAAAAAAGAAAAAGAAAAAAAAGUAAACACUGCUGCCGAGCUGCCUGCUCCAUGCACUACGACGGGGCAGCGAUCUGGUUGGCAGUUGGGGGUUGCGAAAUACCAUUUCCCGAGGCUGUGAAGGUCCCGUCGGCAGUAACAGCUGUGGCGAGAAAAUCCGAAGAAGUGUCUCCGGCAGCUUCGGGACUCACACUGAGAUAGCAGCCACAGGACACCCACAUCUUUCAGAGAAAAAGAAUUUAUUGCUCUCUUAUCAGAAGAAACUAACUUCUUCCCACCUCACUCAGCCCUGAAGACACCAUUAGGAUUAAGAGGAAGAAGCUGACACUGACCAGACAGAAUCCUUUGUUUGAAUGGAAUUUAUGUAUAAUGUAUGAGAUGUAUGAAUAUGCAACAGGUUAUUGCUUUUAAGGGUUAAUCCUCUGUUAAUGGGUGUCCUUUUUCGGGCUUAUUUUGCCCAGAAAAAGGUACCCGGACUGUCCUAACUGUUUGUUUCUAUUGUCUCAUAUUGUCCUAAUCCUAAUUGUCCAAAUUUUUAUUACUCUAAUUAUAUUACUAUUUUUAUAAUCAUUUUAUUACUGUUAAACUUUUAAAAUUUUAAAACCAAGUGAUUGGCGUUUUUCACAAUUUCCACACGAUGAGUCUCUUGCCAGAAGCAUACAGAUUUAGUUUGGGACUACAAGCCAGGACCCUUUGAGCUAACUCAGUCAGUCUCCCCAUCCCCAGCUGCUGAAGUCUCCCUGCACCAGGUUGGCAUGAGGCCUUUAAGGCCUCUAAGACUCAAAAUUACUGUUGGAUAAAGUUGGAUUCCCAAAGGAGUGAAAAAGACUAGAUCUCAUUUUCUAAUAGAGCCAAGGCUUUAUUUUAAUUUGUCUUACUGUGUCCUUUUUCCAGAGUGAACAUUUGCAGUCAUGGCCUUGAUGCUGCCUAGAGCUGCUGUGAGCCUGUGGGCUAUGCCCUGGGUUUGUGGGAGACCAAGGGCAGAGAUUUCCUCAUUCCUUUGAAAUGGGCAUAGACUGUGCUGCUGUAUACAGUGGGGCCAGCUCUGUGCUCUCUGCUCCAGGGAGCUGGUGUCAGAGCCAGACCAUCUCAUAAUGUGAAGGGUUUGUCAAAUUGUCUGUACUUUGUACCUGUAUUUGUAUACUGGUGCUUUACUUGAUCACUGUAGUUUGGAGCCCAGAGAAGUGGUUUUGCCUGAAGC
rnacentral:lncRNA from 1 species